UGGGGAAUAUUGGACAAUGGGGGCAACCCUGAUCCAGCGAUGCCGCGUGAGUGAAGAAGGCCUUCGGGUUGUAAAGCUCUUUUGUAGGGGAGGAAGUGCGUGCGUGAAUAACGCAAGGCAUUGACGUUACCCUAAGAAUAAGCACCGGCUAACUCUGUGCCAGCAGCCGCGGUAAUACAGAGGGUGCGAGCGUUAAUCGGAAUGACUGGGCGUAAAGGGUGCGUAGGUGGUUUGUUAAGUUAGCUGUGAAAGCCCCGGGCUUAACCUGGGAACGGCAGCUAAAACUGAUGAACUUGAGUAGGUGAGAGGAGUGUGGAAUUUCCGGUGUAGCGGUGAAAUGCGUAGAGAUCGGAAAGAACACCAGUGGCGAAGGCGGCACUCUGGCACCAUACUGACACUGAGGCACGAAGGCGUGGGGAGCAAACAGG
rnacentral:rRNA from 1 species